GGGCGUAUAGCUCAGCGGUAGAGCGCUACGUUGACAUCGUAGAGGUCCCUAGUUCGAUCCUUGGUACGCCCACCA
rnacentral:tRNA from 2 species